rnacentral:rRNA from 1 species
UAUAGAGGUCUCAAGCGUUGUUCGGAUUCAUUGGGCGUAAAGGGUGUCGUAGGUGGCGCCGUAAGUCGGGUGUGAAAUUCGACGGGCUUAACUCCGAAACUGCAUUCGAUACUGCGGUGCUUGAGGACUGGAGAGGAGACUGGAAUUAGGUGUAGCAGUGAAAUGCGUAGAGAUCAUGAGGAAGACCAGUGGCGAAGGCGGGUCUCUGG